rnacentral:lncRNA from 12 species
GCAUGUGAACUCCUGUCGAGGCUUCAAGUCCCAGCCUUCCCCCAAGGCCCCCAGGCAAAGUCAGAGGUUAGUCACUCCCUCCCUGCCUCCUGCGCCCCGUCUCCAGCACUGGGGAGCACUCAGCACAUGAUGAGCAUCAGGCCCCGCUGCCCACCAGCAAGAGGCAGGGAACUCCUGGCCUUCCUUUCGCUCCAGCCCCACUCGUUGUGAGGUGACAUCAUAUCUGGUCGGCUGGCUGUUCUGUCUCAUAGACAUGUGUGUGUACACGCGUGCAGACGUGUGCCUGUGAGCAAGUAUGCAUGCACAUUUACCCGUCUUUCAUCAACACAGGCAGGAUUCUUGCAGAGGCUUUCCUACCUGCAUGCGGCCACACUCAAGAUUACUCAAAACAGCGUGGAGCUGGACGUCUAUACUCUGACACCGGAGGGCAGCUUGUCCCGUCCCAGGUGCGUGGAGCUGGCACAGUGCUGGGUGCAAGAAAGGGAGUUCCUGCUAUGCUGUGCCAUUUAAGGGCAGAUGUUUCAGGAAGCCUCGGAAUCAAGCUGACACGCAUCCCACGGCAUGACAACUGCGGUGCGAGGUUCUCAGGAAGGGCUGAGUGUGUGCAUGAGGUCACUGAGCUCUGUUACUGCUCAACCAGCCUCAGCCUGUGUCGUGGUGACACACAUCUGCUGACUGGACGGAUCAGUGCCUUGCGCUGUAGGCUGACUGGUGGGCCAUGCUUGAAAGACUCCUGGCAUGUGCCCCUGCCUGCAUUUUUCACUCUUGGCUGAAAGCAUAUGCUCCACACAAUCAGGACAGUGUUCGCAUGUGGGUCCGAGGCAGCUUCCUACACAUCUGGCUGAGGCUGGCUGAAUCACUUCCCCCGGGAGGGUGGCUUCCAGCCCUGUGACAUCUGGAGAGUGGCAGGAAGUGUCUGGAUUCAUCCCAGAAUGAUUUUUAUCUCCACAUGCUUUUCCAAUUUCAUCAGGGCCUCCGUGCUACAUUCCGAAUGACAUGUCCACAUUUGCCACGGACAAGAAUGACAGAUGGAGAAAAAUCAUCUUUGACCCUUGAAAGUCGGUCAUGUUUUAUGAGGUAAGAGCGUUUGAGCCAGGAGGUAUUGUAGCAGAGGGCCCAGAGAUGGCUUGAAAUAGAGAAGGUUAUGGAUGUUUAGCUUCUGGAAAUAAAAACCCCCUUCCCAAAUGACUAGUUUAUCA